rnacentral:lncRNA from 1 species
CAUAUUGAAGGCAUGACUAACACCCGGUGAAGGCACGAUUCCAAACCUGAUUUUGGAUCACCACCCUAAGAUAUUACCAGCCAACUAAGCUGGAACAUUAAAAGAUGAUUAGAAACCAACUUAACUUAAACGGUUCAUUGAGUGUAAUAAUUAACUAACUUAAAAAAAAGGGGCAUCCCGGAUCUUCUCCACAAAAAGAAUCAGUUCCCGUCCCUUUGGAACUGCUGCAGAUUCCAAAGUCAAAAACGCGACCAAAUGGCUGUCUUUCCUCGCCCUUUCACAAACUGCGGC